UACGUAGGUCCCGAGCGUUGUCCGGAUUUAUUGGGCGUAAAGCGAGCGCAGGUGGUUUAAUAAGUCUGAUGUAAAAGGCAGUGGCUUAACCAUUGUACGCUUUGGAAACUGGAGGACUUGAGUGCAGAAGGGGAGAGUGGAAUUCCAUGUGUAGCGGUGAAAUGCGUAGAUAUAUGGAGGAACACCGGUGGCGAAAGCGGCUCUCUGGUCUGUAACUGACGCUGAGGCUCGAAAGCGUGGGGAGCAAACAGG
rnacentral:rRNA from 1 species